rnacentral:rRNA from 1 species
ACUCAAAGGAAUUGACGGGGGCCCGCACAAGCAGCGGAGCAUGUGGUUUAAUUCGACGAAACGCGAAGAACCUUACCUGGGCUUGACAUGUUUCUGACAGGUGUGGAAACACACCCUCCCUUCGGGGCAGAUUCACAGGUGGUGCAUGGCUGUCGUCAGCUCGUGUCGUGAGAUGUUGGGUUAAGUCCCGCAACGAGCGCAACCCCCGUCGCAUGUUGCCAGCAUUUAGUUGGGGACUCAUGCGAGACUGCCGGUGACAAACCGGAGGAAGGUGGGGAUGACGUCAAGUCAUCAUGCCCCUUAUGUCCAGGGCUACACACGUGCUACAUUGGCCGGUACAAAGGGCUGCGAUACCGCGAGGUGGAGCGAAUCCCAUAAAGCCGGUCUUGGUUCGGAUUGGAGGCUGAAACUCGCCUCCAUGAAGGUGGAGUUGCUAGUAAUCAUGGAUCAGCAACGCCAUGGUGAAUACGUUCCCGGGCCUUGUACACACCGCCCGU